AGGGUUUGAUCAUGGCUCAGGAUGAACGCUGGCGGCGUGCUUAACACAUGCAAGUCGAACGAACCUUCGGGUUAGUGGCGGACGGGUGAGUAACGCGUGAGAAUCUGCCCUCAGGAGGGGGAUAACGGUUGGAAACGACCGCUAAUACCCCAUAUGCCUAUUGGUGAAAUGAAUUUCGCCUGAGGAUGAGCUCGCGUCUGAUUAGCUAGUUGGUGAGGUAAUGGCUCACCAAGGCUUCGAUCAGUAGCUGGUCUGAGAGGAUGAUCAGCCACACUGGGACUGAGACACGGCCCAGACUCCUACGGGAGGCAGCAGUGGGGAAUUUUCCGCAAUGGGCGAAAGCCUGACGGAGCAACGCCGCGUGAGGGACGAAGGCCUCUGGGCUGUAAACCUCUUUUCUCAAGGAAGAAGAUAUGACGGUACUUGAGGAAUAAGCCACGGCUAAUUCCGUGCCAGCAGCCGCGGUAAUACGGGAGUGGCAAGCGUUAUCCGGAAUUAUUGGGCGUAAAGCGUCCGCAGGCGGCUUUUCAAGUCUGCUGUUAAAGCGUGGAGCUUAACUCCAUCAUGGCAGUGGAAACUGAAAGGCUUGAGUAUGGUAGGGGCAGAGGGAAUUCCCGGUGUAGCGGUGAAAUGCGUAGAUAUCGGGAAGAACACCAGUGGCGAAGGCGCUCUGCUGGGCCAUUACUGACGCUCAUGGACGAAAGCCAGGGGAGCGAAAGGGAUUAGAUACCCCUGUAGUCCUGGCCGUAAACGAUGAACACUAGGUGUCGGGGGAAUCGACCCCUUCGGUGUCGUAGCUAACGCGUUAAGUGUUCCGCCUGGGGAGUACGCACGCAAGUGUGAAACUCAAAGGAAUUGACGGGGGCCCGCACAAGCGGUGGAGUAUGUGGUUUAAUUCGAUGCAACGCGAAGAACCUUACCAGGGUUUGACAUCCUGCGACCCUCUUAGAAAUUUGAGGGUGCCUUCGGGAAUGCAGUGACAGGUGGUGCAUGGCUGUCGUCAGCUCGUGUCGUGAGAUGUUGGGUUAAGUCCCGCAACGAGCGCAACCCACGUUUUUAGUUGCCAGCAUUUAGUUGGGCACUCUAGAAAGACCGCCGGUGAUAAACCGGAGGAAGGUGUGGAUGACGUCAAGUCAUCAUGCCCCUUACACCCUGGGCUACACACGUACUACAAUGCUACGGACAAAGGGCAGCAAACUCGCGAGAGCUAGCAAAUCCCAUAAACCGUGGCUCAGUUCAGAUCGUAGGCUGCAACUCGCCUACGUGAAGUAGGAAUCGCUAGUAAUCGCAGGUCAGCAUACUGCGGUGAAUACGUUCCCGGGCCUUGUACACACCGCCCGUCACACCAUGGAAGUUGGCCAUGCCCGAAGUCGUUACUCCAACCCUUGUGGAGGAGGACGCCGAAGGUGGGGCUAAUGACUGGGGUGAAGUCGUAACAAGGUAGCCGUA
rnacentral:rRNA from 1 species